ACUACGGCCCAGAAACAACAGUCUUGGUCCUAAACCUACCGUUACCUGUUUCCAGAAUUAUACAUGCAAGCCUCAACACAACAGUGAGACGCCCAUACGAUCAUAAGAACCCAUGGGGCCGGCAUCAGACCUUAGAGACCCUAAUCAAAGACGCCACGAAACUCCACACCUACACAGGACAUUCAGCAGUAAUAAACAUUGAGCCAUGAUCGAAAGAUUGACCCAGUCAUAGAAAACAAAGCCGGUAAAACUCGUGCCAGCUACCGCGGUUAUACGAGAGGCUUAAGGUAACACAAACGGCGUAAAGAUGACCAGAAAUAAUCAAAAAAUUAAGGAUAAACCGAAACGCGCCGUCCAACGCUAGAACAAAGGGAAACCCAAUGCCUUAACAAAAAGACCCUUUUAAACAUCAAAGCUGGGGCACAAACUAGGAUUAGAUACCCUACUAUGCCCAGCCAUAACAAGGUGGCAAAUAGAACACAAACCACCCGCCAGAUUAGUACGAGCAAAAGCUUGAAACUCAAAGGACUUGACGGUGACCCAUAUCAACCUAGAGGAGCCUGUCCCAUAAUCGAUAACCCACGCUUAACCCAACCGCCCCUUGCCAAUCAGUCUAUAUACCGCCGUCGUCAGUUCACCCUGUGAAGGUACAGAAGUGAGCAUAAUAGUUGUGCACUAAAACGACAGGUCAAAGCGUAGCACACGGGUCGGAGGAGAUGGGCUACAUUUUCUAUAAAGAAAACACGGAGCUACACCAUGAAAAAGUGCCACAAGGUGGAUUUAGCAGUAAGACAAGAAAGAAUGCCUGUCUGAACACUUGCACUGGGACGCGUACACACCGCCCGUCACCCCCAUCCCAUAAAAACAACAAUAUAUAAAUCGAAAAAAGCACCAAGAUGGGGCAAGUCGUAACAUGGUAAGCGUACUGGAAAGUGCGCUUGAACGC
rnacentral:ncRNA from 1 species